rnacentral:rRNA from 1 species
GAUGAACGCUGGCGGCGUGCCUAAUACAUGCAAGUCGAGCGAACAGACGAGGAGCUUGCUCCUCUGACGUUAGCGGCGGACGGGUGAGUAACACGUGGAUAACCUACCUAUAAGACUGGGAUAACUUCGGGAAACCGGAGCUAAUACCGGAUAAUAUAUUGAACCGCAUGGUUCAAUAGUGAAAGACGGUUUUGCUGUCACUUAUAGAUGGAUCCGCGCCGCAUUAGCUAGUUGGUAAGGUAACGGCUUACCAAGGCGACGAUGCGUAGCCGACCUGAGAGGGUGAUCGGCCACACUGGAGCUGGGCCGCGGUCCAGACUCCUACGGGAGGCAGCAGUAGGGAAUCUUCCGCAAUGGGCGAAAGCUUGACGGAGCAACGCCGCGUGAGUGAUGAAGGUCUUCGGAUCGUAAUACUCUGUUAUUAGGGAAGAACAAAUGUGUAAGUAACUAUGGACGUCUUGACGGUACCUAAUCAGAAAGCCACGGCUAACUACGUG